UGAACGCUGGCGGCGUGCCUAAUACAUGCAAGUCGAGCGAACAGAUGAGGAGCUUGCUCCUCUGACGUUAGCGGCGGACGGGUGAGUAACACGUGGAUAACCUACCUAUAAGACUGGGAUAACUUCGGGAAACCGGAGCUAAUACCGGAUAAUAUAUUGAACCGCAUGGUUCAAUAGUGAAAGACGGUUUUGCUGUCACUUAUAGAUGGAUCCGCGCCGCAUUAGCUAGUUGGUAAGGUAACGGCUUACCAAGGCAACGAUGCGUAGCCGACCUGAGAGGGUGAUCGGCCACACUGGAACUGAGACACGGUCCAGACUCCUACGGGAGGCAGCAGUAGGGAAUCUUCCGCAAUGGGCGAAAGCCUGACGGAGCAACGCCGCGUGAGUGAUGAAGGUCUUCGGAUCGUAAAACUCUGUUAUUAGGGAAGAACAAAUGCGUAAGUAACUAUGCACGUCUUGACGGUACCUAAUCAGAAAGCCACGGCUAACUACGUG
rnacentral:rRNA from 1 species